rnacentral:rRNA from 1 species
GACGAACGCUGGCGGCGUGCUUAACACAUGCAAGUCGAACGGAAAGGCCCUGCUUUUGUGGGGUGCUCGAGUGGCGAACGGGUGAGUAACACGUGAGUAACCUACCCUUGACUUUGGGAUAACUUCAGGAAACUGGGGCUAAUACCGGAUAGGAGCUCCUGCUGCAUGGUGGGGGUUGGAAAGUUUCGGCGGUUGGGGAUGGACUCGCGGCUUAUCAGCUUGUUGGUGGGGUAGUGGCUUACCAAGGCUUUGACGGGUAGCCGGCCUGAGAGGGUGACCGGCCACAUUGGGACUGAGAUACGGCCCAGACUCCUACGGGAGGCAGCAGUGGGGGAUAUUGCACAAUGGGCGGAAGCCUGAUGCAGCAACGCCGCGUGCGGGAUGACGGCCUUCGGGUUGUAAACCGCUUUCGCCUGUGACGAAGCGUGAGUGACGGUAAUGGGUAAAGAAGCACCGGCUAACUACGUG